ensembl:lncRNA
GUUCCAGUCUAUAGGUGAGACACUAUAGGGUUCCAGUCUAUAGGUGAGACACUAUAGGGUUCCAGUCUAUAGGUGAGACACUAUAGGGUUCCAGUCUAUAGGUGAGACACUACAGGGUUACAGUCUAUAGGUGAGACACUACAGGGUUCCAGUCUAUAGGUGAGACACUACAGGGUUCCAGUCUAUAGGUGAGACACUACAGGGUUCCAGUCUAUAGGUGAGACACUACAUGGUUCCAGUCUAUAGGUGAGACACUACAGGGUUCCAGUCUAUAGGUGAGACACUACAGGGUUACAGUCUAUAGAUGAACAACAACAAAUUGUAGCUAGUCUGUUAUUAUUGCUGAUUCAAUACAACACAGAAUGCUACGGCUUCAGUCAUUAAAUUAAUCUCAGAAAUGUUCAAUUUGACCACAAGCUAUUACAGCAAUGACAGUAUAUUGCCCUGCUGCUGUCUAAUGGUGUGUUGCUGUCUAAUGGUGUUGUCCUGCUGCUGUCUAAUGGCGUGUUGCCCUACUGCUGUCUAAUGGUGUGUUGUCCUGUUGCUGUCUAAUGGUGUGUUGUCCUGCUGCUGUCUAAUGGUGUGUUGUCCUGUUGCUGUCUAAUGGUGUGUUGUCCUGUUGCUGUCUAAUGGUGUGUUGUCCUGCUGCUGUCUAAUGGUGUGUUGUCCUGUUGCUGUCUAAUGGUGUGUUGUCCUGUUGCUGUCUAAUGGUGUGUUGUCCUGUUGCUGUCUAAUGGUGUGUUGUCCUGCUGCUGUCUAAUGGUGUUGCCCUGUUGCUGUCUAAUGGUGUGUUGUCCUGCUGCUGUCUAAUGGUGUGUUGUCCUGUUGCUGUCUAAUGGUGUGUUGCUGUCUAAUGGUGUGUUGUCCUGCUGCUGUCUAAUGGUGUGUUGUCCUACUGCUGUCUAAUGGUGUUGUCCUACUGCUGUCUAAUGGUGUUGUCCUGCUACUGUCUAAUGGUGUUGUCCUACUGCUGUCUAAUGGUGUUGUCCUACUGCUGUCUAAUGGUGUGUUGUCCUGCUGCUGUCUAAUGGUGUGUUGUCCUACUGCUGUCUAAUGGUGUUGUCCUACUGCUGUCUAAUGGUGUUGUCCUACUGCUGUCUUGCUGCUGUCUAAUGGUGUUGUCCUACUGCUGUCUAAUGGUGUGUUGCUGUCUAAUGGUGUGUUGCUGUCUAAUGGUGUGUUGCUGUCUAAUGGUGUUGUCCUACUACUGUCUAAUGGUGUUGCCCUGCUGCUGUCUAAUGGUGUGUUGCCCUGCUGCUGUCUAAUGGUGUGUUGCUGUCUAAUGGUGUUGUCCUACUACUGUCUAAUGGUGUUGUCCUGCUGCUGUCUAAUGGUGUUGCCCUGCUGCUGUCUAAUGGUGUGUUGUCCUGUUGCUGUCUAAUGGUGUUGCCCUGCUGCUGUCUAAUGGUGUGUUGCCCUACUGCUGUCUAAUGGUGUGUUGCCCUACUGCUGUCUAAUGGUGUUGUCCUACUGCUGUCUAAUGGUGUUGUCCUACUGCUGUCUAAUGGUGUUGUCCAUACUGCUGUCUAAUG